CUAGGAGAUAGCUUUAUGUCCGUUGGAAUACUGUUCCAGAAAGACAUCGCUGUGAACGCAGAAGUGAAUUUACCAUAAUUAGUUCUGAUUUUAGGUAAUAAGAAGUUGUUAGCUAAUGCAAAUCGAGUUUUAUUAUGAUUAGCAAGUUGUUCAGUGUUAAACAUUAUUUGGGGAAUGUUUGAGUGAAGGGAACUGAAGACAAGAAUUGCCAUGUUUAAUUGAAAUAGUUUAUGAAUUGUGAGAAUGCGAUGUUCUUGCAAAAGAGCAGAUACACUAUAUCGAGGUGGCUGAAAAGUAAUAAUGCUGAUGGCCUGGUUCUGAACGUAUUGUAAAGGAGCAAGAUGAGAGCUGUAUGUGUUGCCCCAAGUCGCAAUGCAGUAGGUGAAGUGACUGUGAAUGAACGCAUGAUAAAGAGAAAGCCAGGUUGGUAGACUAAAGUAUGGACAUGCUUUUAUAAGAAUCCGGAUACCAUAUCGCAUUUUUUGCUAUAGAUGUGAAAUAUGGUUAAUGUACUUUAAGUUGGAUUCAAGGACAACCCCCAAAAAACGACAAUGACUA
rnacentral:lncRNA from 1 species